rnacentral:rRNA from 2 species
UACGUAGGGUGCAAGCGUUAAUCGGAAUUACUGGGCGUAAAGCGUGCGCAGGCGGUUUUAUAAGUCUGAUGUGAAAUCCCCGGGCUCAACCUGGGAACUGCAUUGGAGACUGUAAGGCUAGAGUGUGUCAGAGGGGGGUAGAAUUCCACGUGUAGCAGUGAAAUGCGUAGAUAUGUGGAGGAAUACCGAUGGCGAAGGCAGCCCCCUGGGAUAACACUGACGCUCAUGCACGAAAGCGUGGGGAGCAAACAGG